rnacentral:rRNA from 1 species
GAUGAACGCUGGCGGCGUGCCUAAUACAUGCAAGUCGAGCGAACAGACGAGGAGCUUGCUCCUCUGACGUUAGCGGCGGACGGGUGAGUAACACGUGGAUAACCUACCUAUAAGACUGGGAUAACUUCGGGAAACCGGAGCUAAUACCGGAUAAUAUAUUGAACCGCAUGGUUCAAUAGUGAAAGACGGUUUUGCUGUCACUUAUAGAUUGAUCCGCGCCGCAUUAGCUAGUUGGUAAGGUAACGGCUUACCAAGGCAACGAUGCGUAGCCGACCUGUGAGGGUGAUCGGCCACACUGGAACUGAGACACGGUCCAGACUCCUACGGGAGGCAGCAGUAGGGAAUCUUCCGCAAAGGGCGAAAGCUUGACGGAGCAACGCCGCGUGAGGGAUGAAGGUCUUCGGAUCGUAAAACUCUGUUAUUAGGGAAGAACAAAUGUGUAAGUAACUAUGCACGUCUUGACGGUACCUAAUCAGAAAGCCACGGCUAACUACGUG